AUUCCAGCUCCAAUAGCGUAUAUUUAAGUUGUUGCAGUUAAAAAGCUCGUAGUUGGAUUUUGGUUAAGAGGGCGCGGUCGGCCGUUUGGUCUGUACUGCGUUGUCUUGACUUCCUGAUGAGGACAUGCUCCUGGUUAACGCUGAGACAUGGAGUCAUCGUGGUUACUUUGAAAAAAUUAGAGUGUUCAAAGCGGGCUUACGCUUGAAUAUAUUAGCAUGGAAUAACACUAUAGGACUCCUGUCCUAUCUCGUUGGUCUCGGGAUGGGAGUAAUGAUUAAGAGGAACAGUUGGGGGCAUUCGUAUUUCAUUGUCAGAGGUGAAAUUCUUGGAUUUAUGAAAGACGAACUUCUGCGAAAGCAUUUGCCAAGGAUGUUUUCAU
rnacentral:rRNA from 1 species